UGGGGAAUUUUGGACAAUGGGCGCAAGCCUGAUCCAGCAAUGCCGCGUGCAGGAUGAAGGCCUUCGGGUUGUAAACUGCUUUUGUACGGAACGAAACGGUCUUUUCUAAUACAGAAGGCUAAUGACGGUACCGUAAGAAUAAGCACCGGCUAACUACGUGCCAGCAGCUGCGGUAAUACGUAGGGUGCGAGCGUUAAUCGGAAUUACUGGGCGUAAAGCGUGCGCAGGCGGUUAUGUAAGACAGAUGUGAAAUCCCCGGGCUCAACCUGGGAACUGCGUUUGUGACUGCAUAACUAGAGUACAGUAGAGGGGGAUGGAAUUCCGCGUGUAGCAGUGAAGUGCGUAAAUAUGCGGAGGAACAACGAUGACGAAGGCAAUCCCCCGGACCUGUACUGACGCUCAUGCACGAAAGCGUGGGGAGCAAACA
rnacentral:rRNA from 1 species